GGAAAUUCGAUGACAGGAAAGAGUAGCUUUGAUGGAAGGUUAAAGAGAGCCGCCGGCGGUGGGAGUGCGGCACCGAAAGUCAUAGUGAAUGGGUCUUGGAGAAGGCAAGGCGAAAUACUUUAAGUAGCUUUGCACGGCAUGUCCCCCGUUAGCGAAGGACAGGAUAUCGCGAGAACAUCGCCGUAUCUGAGAAAAGUGAGUUUUACAUUGAGGUGGCAAGCAUUUCAUCCUGAAGAUGAGAUGCUUUUUUGUUAUAUACACCCGGUGUAAGGCUAAUUUGGGUGGCACCACGGAAGCAACCGUCCCUUUU
rnacentral:ncRNA from 1 species